CGAGUCUGCUUAUCUCUAGCCCGUGGACUUAGCUAAUACUAUUAUAGCAUCCAAUUUUUUUAAUUAAGCAGUUUGAUAUAUGAUUUAUUAUUUAUGGAUAUUGAUAAGAUCCUUCCAUUUAGCAGCAUCUUAAGAUGGCAUAGCUUUAACAUUAAUGACGAGGUUUAAAUGAGAAAAGGCUUACGGUGGAUACCUAGGCACCCG
rnacentral:lncRNA from 1 species